rnacentral:rRNA from 1 species
AAUGAACGCUGGCGGCGUGCCUAAUACAUGCAAGUCGAGCGAACAGAUAAGGAGCUUGCUCCUUUGACGUUAGCGGCGGACGGGUGAGUAACACGUGGGUAACCUACCUAUAAGACUGGGAUAACUUCGGGAAACCGGAGCUAAUACCGGAUAACAUUUGGAACCGCAUGGUUCUAAAGUGAAAGAUGGUUUUGCUAUCACUUAUAGAUGGACCCGCGCCGUAUUAGCUAGUUGGUAAGGUAACGGCUUACCAAGGCGACGAUACGUAGCCGACCUGAGAGGGUGAUCGGCCACACUGGAACUGAGACACGGUCCAGACUCCUACGGGAGGCAGCAGUAGGGAAUCUUCCGCAAUGGGCGAAAGCCUGACGGAGCAACGCCGCGUGAGUGAUGAAGGGUUUCGGCUCGUAAAACUCUGUUAUUAGGGAAGAACAAAUGUGUAAGUAACUGUGCACGUCUUGACGGUACCUAAUCAGAAAGCCACGGCUAACUACGUG